rnacentral:rRNA from 1 species
UAGGGAAUCUUCGGCAAUGGACGGAAGUCUGACCGAGCAACGCCGCGUGAGUGAAGAAGGUUUUCGGAUCGUAAAGCUCUGUUGUAAGAGAAGAACGAGUGUGAGAGUGGAAAGUUCACACUGUGACGGUAUCUUACCAGAAAGGGACGGCUAACUACGUGCCAGCAGCCGCGGUAAUACGUAGGUCCCGAGCGUUGUCCGGAUUUAUUGGGCGUAAAGCGAGCGCAGGCGGUUAGAUAAGUCUGAAGUUAAAGGCUGUGGCUUAACCAUAGUACGCUUUGGAAACUGUUUAACUUGGGUGCAAGAGGGGAGAGUGGAAUUCCAUGUGUAGCGGUGAAAUGCGUAGAUAUAUGGAGGAACACCGGUGGCGAAAGCGGCUCUCUGGCUUGUAACUGACGCUGAGGCUCGAAAGCGUGGGGAGCAAACAGGAUUAGAUACCCUGGUAGUCCACGCCGUAAACGAUGAGUGCUAGGUGUUAGACCCUUUCCGGGGUUUAGUGCCGCAGCUAACGCAUUAAGCACUCCGCCUGGGGAGUACGACCGCAAGGUUG